CGGAAAUGUGUGUCCCCUCUUAGGGGAUAUUUUCUGCUCUAGCAGCCGCAGUGCCACCAGGCAUUCAGGAAUUUGGUGGAUUUAGGCACUUUCUGUGCCUGAAGCCCGCAGCUGCACCAGAGGGGAGGGUGUGGCUGAGCAGGGGCGGUUUGGGCAUUGCUCAGCUGCUCCUGUGCCGGGAGUUCUAACACGGAAACGCAGUGUCAUUAACAAAAAUAAAGACAUCAGUGCCUUGACCCGAGCUUGUGGCAAAUUGCAGAGAAUUUAGGACCGGAGAAGCCAGGCUGGGUGCCACGGGCUCCCCCGGAUAAACACGAAUGUGCUCCGACGGGCUGCUGGAGCCAGAGCCGCUCCGUGGGGCUGGCCCCAGGCCCCGUGUAAUCUGAAUAUUGAGGCUGCUGCUUAAUCCCCGUCCCUGGCUCGGGCUGGGCUGGGCUGCUCCGGCAGCCCUGCCUGGGUUGCCGUAGGAACAAGGCAUUCAAGGAAAUGUGCUCAGGAAGGAGAAAUGCCUGCUAAUUAAAUCAGGGAAUGCUUGGCAUGGAAACUUCCAUGGGGAUGUCCAAAACCAUGGACAAAGCUGUUGAGAGGAGAUUUAGGUGAGACACUGGGGAGGAAUUCCUGGCUGGGAGGGUGGUGGCUGUGCAGAAAAGCUGUGGCUGCCCCUCGAUCCUGCAAGUGUCCAAGUGGGUUGGAUGGGGCUUGGAUCAGCUUGGGGUGGGAUGGGAUGGGAUCACUGGGAUGGGAUCGGGGGGGGGGGGGGGGGGGGGGGGGGGGGGGGGGGGGGGGGGGGGGGGGGGGGGGGGGGGGGGGGGGGGGGGGGGG
rnacentral:lncRNA from 12 species